CCUCCUGCCCCGCCCACCUCCUGCCAUGCCCCGUGCGUCGUCAGCCGCCUCCUGGCUCUUGCCCCGCCCCGCGACCUUGCAGUGACCCGGACGGCGAUUACCUGCCGGAUCUCGCUGGAUCCGGUUUGAAGUGGUGCUCAGGGGGUGGAUCUGGAAGGCAGGCGACCGGAGCAUGGAGCACGAUUGCUGACGGACGCGGCAUGGCGCCGGCGCCGAGGAGGACGGCGGCGAGGCAGACGAGCUGGAGCCGGACGCUGCCUUGCAUCUUGGGCCCCAGGAAGUCGGCGGCGAGGAGCUCCUGUAUUUCAUUCUAAAUAUAGUCAAGAAAGGUAGCUUACAGCUUUGUGCUCUACCUUGAUGUUGACGCCGCUCUGAACUCUUGUGGCAGAUUAGACGAGAAAUCUGUAUGAUGAAGCUGAUACAGCACCCCAAUGUCGUCCGCCUGCAUGAGGUGAUGGGAAGUAAGGCAAGAAUUUUCAUCGUUCUGGAGUAUGUUACGGGUGGAGAGCUCCAUGACAUCAUUGCCGCCCGUGGGAGCUUGAAGGAGGAUGAAGCAUGCAGAUAUUUUCAACAAUUCAUCAGCGAUGUUGAUUAUUGCCAUAGCAGGGGUGUAUACCACCGAGAUCUGAAGCUAGAGAAUUUAUUGCUUGAUACUGCUGGGAACCUCAAAGUCUCAGACUUUGGCUUGAGUGCGAUAUCUGAGCAGGCGAAGGCUGAUGGGUUACUACAUACUACCUGUGGGACACCGAACUAUGUUGCUCCUGAGGUUAUUGAAGAUAAGGGCUAUGAUGGUGCGUUUGCAGACCUUUGGUCUUGUGGGGUAAUUCUUUUUGUGAUGCUUGCUGGAUAUCUGCCUUUUGAGGAUGACAACGUCUCGGCCCUUUAUAAAAAGAUCUCUGGAGCUCAGUUUACUUGUCCCUCUUGGUUUUCUGAUGGAGCUAAAAGACUGAUUCCCAGGAUUCUUGAUCCUAAUCCGUCAACUGUAAGAUUUUUACCCCCCCCCCCCCACCUCGCUGCCACCAUAGACGUCGCAAGGUAUGUAUGCUUUUUGAGGUGCUUGCUAGCUUCAACUGGGUGAGGACGACUCCCUAUGGAAUAAAGUUGAAGGUCCUAUGCUCCUGCUGUUGUUUAGGACUUUUUUUCUUUUUCUGAAACCAGUAGAAACUAUUCGGAGUUUUAGAUGGAAAAUUGGCCAUGUUCUUCCUCAUGAAAUACAAGAAAAGCUCGAAUUUUCAGAGAAAGAAUACUUCAGGAGCCACUCUUCAGCCAUUAAGUAAUAUAUCUUAGAGCUGGACAUAGAUUUAACACUGGACAUUGGUACCUUCCAAGAAUCAAUAUAUCCAGGUUCAGGUGCUGGAGGACAUUGGUGAAGUAUCUCUUGGUGACCAUUCCAUAUCAUUGACCAAAAAUUCGCUCCACUUCCUUUGGCACACAGAUGCAGAACAAUUUAUAUCACAAGUUUGCUAUGUGUUACGCUGUAUUUUCCCACUCUAAAAUCUGAAUAUGUUCGGUGUAAAAUAUAUUUUGUUUAAUUUUAAUAGGUUCUGGAAGAAUUUCUCGAGUAAGGAUCACAUCUGAUGUAAAAAUAGGUAUUGAUCCUCAGCUGUCAUUGUGAUCUUAGUAGUUACUUAAACAGCAGCGCAAACGUAAUAUAGUGACCAAUGCUGGCAGCAUCUCUUAGAGAUGAAAAGGCUUGAUGCUUACUGAAUAUUUUUUUCACUUGACACAUGACUUGUACUUUUAGCUACCAACUUUGGACUUGUGGUGUGCAUUUUGACCUUAUUUUUUGAAUCAAUGUCUGUGAGCUAUAGAUUUUUUGAAUACCUGUGAUUGUCUACAUAUGAGAUAGAUAUAGAAACAUUCUUCAUUUUCUUUAUUAUUAACAUGAGCUACAGAUUUUAAUUACCCGUACGUUCUUUUGAAUACCUCUGAUUGUCUACAUGUAGUGUAUCUAAGCAUUCUUCCUUUUCUUUAUUAUUAAGAUGACUAAACUUUGAAUAUUCUUUCAUACAUUUGACAUUUAAUUGUGUAUUAAGUACUGUUAUGUUGGUAGAUCAUAAAGUGAGACACUAAAUCGUUUGGCCAUGGCCAUAUAGUUAGCUGCUUGGAGUACAUUAUAUGCACAAGUUCCUUCAGUUACAUGGUCCGUGAUGUAUGACAGAAGACCUCACAAUUGACCGGUGAUGUUUAAAUAGAUAAGACAAGAUUCAUAUGAUGUUUUCCUACAAAUCUAACUAUAAAUCCUAGAAGUGAGUUUUAGUAAUUUGCUUAUUAAAUGAUCGUGUUGUUGUUUAAUUUGGCCUGAUUUAUUUCUGUGAAACAUACAUGAUCGUCUAUAGUUUUAUUUGGCCUGAAAUAAAAUAAGUUGUAUUCACGCCAAACCUGCAUAUUUGUUAGCAGAAUUUUGUGUUUGUUUGUUUUGAUCGACAGUAAGACAUGCUUUGCAUUAAUCAUUUCAUUUUUACCUGAGGGUAUAUGCAGCAAAUAUUGUGUUGCAAUCUUAAUUUUUCCAUAGAGUGAACCUCUGGACCUCUCAAAUUAGAAUUAAUCACGAGCCGCAAGGCAAAUUUUACAGAUUUACUUCAAAUACUCCUAUGUUUCAUUUUCACGUAACUUGCCGCACACGCAGCCUAACACAACAAGGUUGCAGCUUAACUACCAUAAGUAUUAAAGUGCAGUUUAAUCUCAGUUACUCGGAAGCUUAAUUUAUUGUAAAGGUGAUGCACAUUAGAGGAGGUCGUCCCUAUCAACACGAGAAACAUGCUUGUGAUUGAGGACAGCGAGCUGACAACCAAAUGGCCCGCGCUCACCACCAUUACCAGAAGCACCAUCUCCACAGUCAGGCCCAUCUUGAAGCACAUGGAGAUAGUGACUUUGCUGGAAUCAAAUGUACAUACAUGUAGGUAUUGCUAAUCAUAUGAAGAGCUCCUCAAAUAGUAAGAUUUACAGUUUGUUAGUAUUGUGAGGUACCUGCUUUUAACUUGGUGUGUAACUAAUGUAAAAAAUGUAUAUUGGUGAUCAACUCAGUUUCAGUGGCUUAUUCUUAAA